rnacentral:rRNA from 1 species
UACGGAGGGUGCGAGCGUUGUCCGGAAUCACUGGGCGUAAAGGGCGCGUAGGCGGCCUGAUAAGUAGGGGGUGAAAUCCUGCGGCUUAACCGCAGGGCUGCCUUCUAAACUGUCAGGCUGGAGCACAGUAGAGGCAGGUGGAAUUCCCGGUGUAGCGGUGGAAUGCGUAGAGAUCGGGAAGAACACCGGAGGCGAAGGCGGCUUGCUGGGCGUGAUCUGACGCUGAGGCGCGAAAGCGUGGGGAGCGAACAGG